rnacentral:lncRNA from 1 species
GAGGAUCAAGUUCUCCAGCAGAAAGUCUAACGGUUCGUGGCAGACCAACAGACAAGAAGUCAAAUGCUGACUUUAAAGGCAAGAACUCAACUAAUUCUAGAGGCAGAUCAAAGUCUAUGAGUCGAAAAUAUUGCAGAUAUUGCAAAAAGGAUGGCCAUGAAAUUUCUGAAUGUUAUAAGCUGAACAACAAGGAGAAGAAAGCUUCCACCAGCAACUCAAAACCAAGUCAAGAUG